rnacentral:rRNA from 1 species
UACGUAGGGUGCGAGCGUUAAUCGGAAUUACUGGGCGUAAAGCUUGCGCAGGCGGUUCGUUAAGUUCGUCGUGAAAGCCCCGGGCUCAACCUGGGAAUGGCGAUGGAAACUGGCGGGCUGGAGUGUGGCAGAGGGGGGUGGAAUUCCGCGUGUAGCAGUGAAAUGCGUAGAGAUGCGGAGGAACACCGAUGGCGAAGGCAGCCCCCUGGGCCAACACUGACGCUCAGGCACGAAAGCGUGGGGAGCAAACAGG